rnacentral:lncRNA from 1 species
AAACAAGGGAAUAAACGGAAAUUGUGAAUGAAAACAUAGGAGGAAGCAUCCAUUUCUUAGCAGUGUUUUAUAACAGGAGUUGCGAGGCAUUUCCCAUGAUCAGCACUGUGAUGUAUAGCAGCCAAAAAUGACCCACUCCAACUCUUUUUAUUGCAGUGGCAGAAUCUUCAACACUGCUACUGAGGCUACAGCUUGCUUUUGCACCACAUCCAGAAGAUGAAGAGUUCAGUGAAAUGGCCAAGUCUAUAUGAGAUACAGAAUGGUUGGGAAAAGCUUCAAAAGACCCAAGCAAAGGCUGCUCCUUCUAAAUCCAAUGCAUGUUUUGACAUUUAGAUUCAGUGGGAGCAGGAAUGAAGCAAAACUUAGCCAAAUUUUCCAGCCGUUUAGCGACAGACACAUCUGACAGCUUACCUGAGCUCCGAUCUCUGCUUACACCAAGUGGACAAUGUUUUGAAAUUGGCAGCCUACCCUCAGCCAAGUUCAGACAGCUGUGCCCUGUCACUUCAAAGACAAAUGAUCUCAAGCUGCCAAGAUGUGAUUCUGGGUCAACAGGGGCAAAAAUAAAGCUGUGGUCAAAUGAAAAGGAAACAUUAAGUUGUUUUGUAUUUUGUAACUGAUUAAGCAUUUACACACCGAAGUCCCAGAACUAGACAUCCAGAUCAGUCAGUACUGACCUGAACAGCUUUCUCCAAACAAUUAGAGCUUAACUCAUCCCUGCUGGUACUGGCUGCUAGUAAACAAAGGAAGAAACAAAAAUGCCAAAAACAAAACCAAACACAGUUCUUGAGGUUGCAUCACGGUAAUUCUCUGGGUGAGGAAAUUUGGUUCCAAAGCACCCCUGUAGUCCCAGCCUGCAUGUCUCAGGUGCUCAGAAGUUGGCAACCAGGUUAUCUGACUUUGGUGACAGCCCGUCCCACAGUGAUGCUGCUGUGGCAAUUCGAGCUUCAUGAUGGGUUGUUUCUAGUUUGAGGUGAAGCAUAAGAGACGCUACGGCUGUCUAAACUAUGAGUUCACCACACCACCCAUUCCCCUGCCCUCAGUCCCAGUUUUCUUGGAAACCAGGAAGCACAGCAGGGAGGGGAGGGAGGAAAGGACGGACAUUUACACGUUUGGACUGCAUCCUGUCAAGCAAGCAGGACGUGAAAAGUGUGGUGCACAUCUGGGGCUCUGAGCUGGAAAAACAGUCCCAAGCCUCACAGUUCAGAUGCAUCUCUACACCUCGAAAGUUGUUGUCAGCAUGUAAUUGCCCUGUGGCUGGUUAUAAAGGCUGAGCAGCCGAAUAUGGGAGGCCCAACCCGUUUUCAGUCAUUGAACAAAUUUCCCCAGCUCAGAUCUGGAAUGAUCUCCAGCCCUUGCUGGACAGUGUCAACCUGUGCUAUGGAAAAUUUGGAAGUAGAGGCAUGUAGAAACACAGGCAAAUAAACAUUACUGUAGGAAUGCA